GGUGGAGUUAAGUGAGGUAGUAUUAAGGGAUUGGAGGAGCCUGUGACAUCACUAGGAGGGGCUUGUGACAUCACUGGUUACUUAGAGGUAGCAAGUAUCAUUUUUUGGUGGGAGAAGAGACAUCAUGGGAAGAUGAAGGCUGUCCUUUGGUAGGUGGGAGAAGCCAUCUUUUUAGGCGAGAAGCAGGGCAUUAUAGGAAGGGGAGUAACAGCCAUCUCAAGUAUUUAAUUCAAGGCACUUCCCUCCUCUGUGGCUGCUGGAUUUCAAGACAAAGCUUCCAGAAUGAUUUAGAGACCAAAACUAGAAAGGUAACUAGGCUAUUAUGGCAGCCGAUUUUUUCCGCACUGGCCCAUCAAGGUCAACAAGAAUCCAGGACGUGAGGGAACCUUUUCAACAGGAUCCUACAUCUUUGACUUAAAAUCUCUGCAGCUACCAAUAAUACAAUGCCUGGUGCCUACCAAAGGACUUUAGAUAUAGACCCUCCGUAGAGUCACUCUAACUGCUGAUCACAACUACAACCCUCUUCAGCCAGAAGUAGCCAGAGCUGUCUUUGCCCUUGCCUCCCCCCCCUUACAGCAGUUAGGGGCACUUCUUCAGAGGGGGGAAUAUUGCAGAUAGGUAAGUUAAUUAGAUAUUUUGUAGGCAGUUAGGCAAGGCUGCCCUCAAGGAGCCAACAUGGAGGACAAUCAAGACACUUUCAUUGAAGGCCAGAAUUGUAAAAGAAGAGAAACUACCAUAACCUUGUGCUUCCCUAGAGACAGAUAGCAGUAAUUGAUAAUUCUUUUUUUUUUUUGGCACCA
rnacentral:lncRNA from 1 species